AACCGGAGGAUGUCGCCGGUGGAAAUCUGGCAAGUGGCGGCGGCAUAGAGGGCUUAUGGUUUGAUGUUGGUCUUUUUACCUAUAGCACUGAAUUUCAUGUAUAGGUUGUGCUGAUCCUAAGAUUUCCAAAAACUGCUUCGUAAAAAUCACCCAGGUCUGCUUUUUAUUGUGAUUAUGCAAAUUGCUCGAAACCUGAGUUGUCCUAUUUUGUUGAUGAAGGAAUUGAAAUCUGAAGACAUGGUGAUUUUUACCCAAUGGGUUAUGCCCUUGAGCACGAAGAGCUUUUGAACUCUGAGGUUCAGGACCACACGUGCUUCUCACAUUUAUUGAGACAGAGAGUAUUAAUCAAAAGCGGUUCAAGUUUCCACAAUGAGCUAUACAUCAUCUAAACUCACAUGGAUAUACCAGGUCUGCCUUUCCCUACAAUUUAAGCCUUUGUUUUGGCAGGUAUCAGUCACCUGGUGCUAAACUUGGUGCUUAAUGAUCAACUAGAACAAAGUUUCAUAGCCUUCCAGAUUUGUCAAAUCUACAAUAACAGGAUAAUUCCUGUUAGACAUGUUAUUCUAUUGGUACAUGUCAUAUAACAAAAUUCUUGUAUUUUGGAAGGAGAAAACAUUGAGUGGAGCAAUUAUGCAAUUCAAGUGGCAUGGUCAUCAAAGGUUUUGUUUUUUCUUAAUCGUGACAUGUGUUAAUAUUGUGCAAAUCAGAAUAUCAUUUUUUAGGUUUGCAAAUAAAAUUAACCUGAAUAAAGUAUUUUAAACUUAGUGAGCAUAAUAGUGUUUUGUAGUGUGAGGAUAAUAAGGUGUAGUGAGGCUGCUGCUCACCGGUGGCUCGCCGGCCAUCCGAGAGCCAGAAUUGCGGCCCCACGCGAGGGAAAGAUCAGCGUUGCUGCAACCACGGCAGGACACCCACCAUGCGCGUACCAUACAGGCAGCAUCAGCCUCACUUCACCUUGGAUGACAUGACGAUUAUGAAAUAUUCAGUCAUCCCCCUUGGGUCUACCUGUUGGACACUUGGACCUACUCAUGUGUUUGAGAUGAUUGUGCAGAAAAGCUGAAAAACGGGAUAAAAUUCUAUGUGAGAGAUGACCGCUAAAGGAGUGCGACGCCACCAUCCUGUGCCACAAACCAUACCAAGAAUGGCGGGUUAUGGAUAGAGUUCAUUUGAUCCAUCUGAUAAAAAUACCUAUUGGGGAAUAAGCAUGAAAAGUAAUCAACCACUCUUUCCGCAGUGGAGUUCGGCCGUGAUGAUCAGAAGUUUAGGACCACACUGUAGUCAAGAAAAAGGAAUGAUCUUCGAGUUGAAAUGGAUUUGAUGAGGGAAGUCUGCAAUGCAGACUGUGUUAAGUGUACCCGCUCCAGAUUUCAUCGACAGUAAAUGGUCCACUGCUAUUGGCAGGAGGAAUAUGCAUGCGUUGGUGGGUGCUGGAGAUUCCCUGCAAUACCCGAGGAUCCGAUGGCGAGCCGUAGGUCGGGGAAGUCGUCGGCAUACAUAUAAGGAGAUGGAGGUGGAGGUGGCGGUGGAGGGAGACGGGCAUUCACUACUCGUCGGAGGGUGAGGGCAUGGAGGACAACCGGCACGACAAUUACCACGCCUUCCUCCCGUCGAAUCACUCAAGCACGACGUCCUGGUCCUCUCUAUCCAUUGGCCCCCUCCAACAUCUACCACGAUGACCACAUGUUGUUUGCGUAGCAGCAACGGCGGCCAUCCAUGAUCUUCUUUUGUGCCGACCUGCUAGAAACAGGUUGGGCUAUAGACAACUAGAGAUUGGUCACCUGUCUAGCAGCUCUUUUCUGAAAACAAAGCCCAGGUCUAUGUGUUCAAAAUCAUGAAGGAGGAUGUCAAAGUGUUUCUGCAGCGCAUCAGGCGGAAGAAAAAGCAACAUGAAGUUCCCGUCUACAUCAAACUGCUUUCACUUAUAUUCUGCCGAAUUUGUUCCAUCUAUAGGACUGUACAUGGAGAUUAUCUAUAAGGGUUAUGUCCCGUACAAGGAGAUUAUCUUAUAGGACAGGCAUAUCAGCCCCCAUUCAGACAUAGCAGAUAUUCAACAGAAGAAGUUCCUCCACUGCUACUGGCCAAACUCUAAGCAAAAAGACCUUCCACUUUCCUUGCUAAUGGUGAGCAACUCAAAGAUGGCUACAAGGUUACACUUAAUAUUUACUCUCUGAAUAACAUAUUAUUUAUUUGACCAAUACAUGUAUAAAUGCCUUGAGAGAACAUGUAUAUAUAGCUGCAUAUAUGUUAUAUCUGAACAAUGGCAGAUUUGACCAUUAAUUACAUGUAUAUACUUGCUA